AAUGCUUAGGAAUCUGCCUAUUAGUGGGGGACAACAUUCCGAAAGGAAUGCUAAUACCGCAUACGCCCUACGGGGGAAAGCAGGGGAUCUUCGGACCUUGCGCUAAUAGAUGAGCCUAAGUCAGAUUAGCUAGUUGGUGGGGUAAAGGCCUACCAAGGCGACGAUCUGUAGCGGGUCUGAGAGGAUGAUCCGCCACACUGGGACUGAGACACGGCCCAGACUCCUACGGGAGGCAGCAGUGGGGAAUAUUGGACAAUGGGCGCAAGCCUGAUCCAGCCAUGCCGCGUGUGUGAAGAAGGCCUUUUGGUUGUAAAGCACUUUAAGCGAGGAGGAGGCUGCUUGGAUUAAUACUCUAGGAUAGUGGACGUUACUCGCAGAAUAAGCACCGGCUAACUCUGUGCCAGCAGCCGCGGUAAUACAGAGGGUGCGAGCGUUAAUCGGAUUUACUGGGCGUAAAGCGUGCGUAGGCGGCUUCUUAAGUCGGAUGUGAAAUCCCUGAGCUUAACUUAGGAAUUGCAUUCGAUACUGGGAAGCUAGAGUAUGGGAGAGGAUGGUAGAAUUCCAGGUGUAGCGGUGAAAUGCGUAGAGAUCUGGAGG
rnacentral:rRNA from 1 species